GCAAGUCGUGGGGCAGCAGGACUGUAGCAAUACAGUUGCUGGCGACCGGCAAACGGGUGCGGAACACGUACGCAAUCUACCCAGAACUGGCGAAUAGCCCUCCGAAAGGAGGAUUAAUACGCCGUAAGAUCCUAGAGUGGCAUCACUUAGGGAUUAAAGCUCCGGCGGUUUUGGAUGAGCGUGCGCCCCAUUAGGUAGUUGGUUGAGGUAACGGCUCACCAAGCCUGCGAUGGGUAACUGGUGUGAGAGCACGACCAGUCACACGGGCACUGAGACACGGGCCCGACUCCUACGGGAGGCAGCAGUAAGGAAUAUUGGUCAAUGGACGCAAGUCUGAACCAGCCAUGCCGCGUGGAGGAUGAAGGCCCUCUGGGUUGUAAACUUCUUUUAUGGGGGACGAAAUCUCUUAUUCUUAAGAGUCUGACGGUACCCCAGGAAUAAGCACCGGCUAACUCCGUGCCAGCAGCCGCGGUAAUACGGAGGGUGCAAGCGUUAUCCGGAUUCACUGGGUUUAAAGGGUGCGUAGGAGGGCAGGAAAGUCAGUGGUGAAAUCUUCGAGCUUAACUCGGAAACUGCCGUUGAUACUUCUUGUCUUGAAUACCGUGGAGGUGAGCGGAAUAUGUCAUGUAGCGGUGAAAUGCUUAGAUAUGACAUAGAACACCAAUUGCGAAGGCAGCUCGCUACACGAAUAUUGACUCUGAGGCACGAAAGCGUGGGGAUCAAACAGGAUUAGAUACCCUGGUAGUCCACGCCCUAAACGAUGGAUACUCGACAUACGCGAUACACUGUGUGUGUCUGAGCGAAAGCAUUAAGUAUCCCACCU
rnacentral:rRNA from 1 species